UUUAGGUAAUUUAAAUUUAAAAUUUUAUUUUGUGAAUAUAAAUAUGUACAAUAGUACUCUAGAUAU
rnacentral:tRNA from 1 species